UGCCAGCAGCCGCGGUAAUACGGAGGGUGCGAGCGUUAAUCGGAAUUACUGGGCGUAAAGCGCGCGUAGGCGGCUUGUUAAGUCAGAUGUGAAAUCCCCGGGCUCAACCUGGGAACUGCAUCUGAUACUGGCAGGCUAGAGUAUGGUAGAGGGAAGCGGAAUUCCGGGUGUAGCGGUGAAAUGCGUAGAUAUCCGGAGGAACAUCAGUGGCGAAGGCGAGAUCCUGGACAUUUACUGACGCUCAGGCACGAAGGCUAGGGUAGCGAAGCGGAUUAGAUA
rnacentral:rRNA from 1 species